rnacentral:rRNA from 1 species
UACAGAGGUCCCAAGCGUUGUUCGGAUUCAUUGGGCGUAAAGGGUGCGUAGGCGGCGCGGUAAGUCGGGUGUGAAAUCUCGGGGCUUAACUCCGAAACUGCAUUCGAUACUGCCGUGCUUGAGGACUGGAGAGGAGACUGGAAUUUACGGUGUAGCGGUGAAAUGCGUAGAUAUCGUAAGGAAGACCAGUGGCGAAGGCGGGUCUCUGGACAGUUCCUGACGCUGAGGCACGAAAGCCAGGGGAGCGAACGGG